rnacentral:rRNA from 1 species
UACGAAGGGUGCAAGCGUUAAUCGGAAUUACUGGGCGUAAAGCGUGCGUAGGCGGUUUGUUAAGUCUGCUGUGAAAUCCCCGGGCUCAACCUGGGAACUGCAUUUGUGACUGCAUAGCUAGAGUACGGUAGAGGGGGAUGGAAUUCCGCGUGUAGCAGUGAAAUGCGUAGAUAUGCGGAGGAACACCGAUGGCGAAGGCAAUCCCCUGGACCUGUACAGACGCUCAUGCACGAAAGCGUGGGGAGCAAACAGG